CUUGGUCAUUUAGAGGAAGUAAAAGUCGUAACAAGGUCUCCGCUGGUGAACCAGCGGAGGGAUCAUUACCGAGUUUACAACUCCCAAACCCCUGUGAACAUACCUUAUGUUGCCUCGGCGGAUCAGCCCGCGCCCCGUAAAAAGGGACGGCCCGCCGCAGGAACCCUAAACUCUGUUUUUAGUGGAACUUCUGAGUAUAAAAAACAAAUAAAUCAAAACUUUCAACAACGGAUCUCUUGGUUCUGGCAUCGAUGAAGAACGCAGCAAAAUGCGAUAAGUAAUGUGAAUUGCAGAAUUCAGUGAAUCAUCGAAUCUUUGAACGCACAUUGCGCCCGCCAGUAUUCUGGCGGGCAUGCCUGUUCGAGCGUCAUUUCAACCCUCAAGCCCAGCUUGGUGUUGGGAGCUGCAGUCCUGCUGCACUCCCCAAAUACAUUGGCGGUCACGUCGAGCUUCCAUAGCGUAGUAAUUUACAUAUCGUUACUGGUAAUCGUCGCGGCCACGCCGUUAAACCCCAACUUCUGAAUGUUGACCUCGGAUCAGGUAGGAAUACCCGCUGAACUUAAGCAUAUCAAUAAGCGGAGGAAAAGAAACCAACAGGGAUUGCCCUAGUAACGGCGAGUGAAGCGGCAACAGCUCAAAUUUGAAAUCUGGCUUUCGGGCCCGAGUUGUAAUUUGUAGAGGAUGAUUUUGAUGCGGUGCCUUCCGAGUUCCCUGGAACGGGACGCCAUAGAGGGUGAGAGCCCCGUCUGGUUGGAUGCCAAAUCUCUGUAAAUCUCCUUCGACGAGUCGAGUUGUUUGGGAAU
rnacentral:sRNA from 1 species